CCUUGCCUCUCCUACCUCACCAGCCUUCUUACACACAUUGCAGACCAAAGACAAUCAUGGCAAGAUGGGCUCAGGGAUUACAUGUUCUCUUGGAAGAGAAGUAGCAACCAACUCUGGUUAACACAAUGAAAGGAAAUGAUGAACAGGCUGACUUCAGAAAAACCUGGAAAGA